CCUACGGGUGACAGCAGUGAGGAAUAUUGGUCAAUGGCCGUAAGGCUGAACCAGCCAAGUCGCGUGAAGGAAGAAGGCUCUAUGGUUUGUAAACUUCUUUUAUAGGGGAAUAAAGGUAUCCACGUGUGGAUAUUUGCAUGUACCCUAUGAAUAAGCAUCGGCUAACUCCGUGCCAGCAGCCGCGGUAAUACGGAGGAUGCGAGCGUUAUCCGGAUUUAUUGGGUUUAAAGGGUGCGUAGGCGGAAUGCCAAGUCAGCGGUAAAAGCGCGGGGCUCAACCUCGCUCCGCCGUUGAAACUGGCGUUCUGGAGUGGGCGAGAAGUAGGCGGAAUGCGUGGUGUAGCGGUGAAAUGCAUAGAUAUCACGCAGAACUCCGAUUGCGAAGGCAGCAUACCGGCGCCCAACUGACGCUGAAGCACGAAAGCGUGGGUAUCGAACAGGAUUAGAUACCCGAGUAGUC
rnacentral:rRNA from 1 species